rnacentral:rRNA from 1 species
GUGGGGAAUUUUGCGCAAUGGGGGAAACCCUGACGCAGCAACGCCGCGUGAGUGAUGAAGGCCUUCGGGUCGUAAAGCUCUGUCAGAGGGGAAGAAAUGCAGGGGUGCUAAUAUCAUCUUUGCUUGACGGUACCCUCAAAGGAAGCACCGGCUAACUCCGUGCCAGCAGCCGCGGUAAUACGGAGGGUGCGAGCGUUGUUCGGAAUUAUUGGGCGUAAAGCGCGUGUAGGCGGUUUGGUAAGUCUGAUGUGAAAGCCCCGGGCUCAACCUGGGAAGUGCAUUGGAAACUGUCAGACUUGAAUACGGGAGAGGGUAGUGGAAUUCCUAGUGUAGGAGUGAAAUCCGUAGAUAUUAGGAGGAACACCGGUGGCGAAGGCGGCUACCUGGACCGAUAUUGACGCUGAGACGCGAAAGCGUGGGGAGCAAACAGGAUUAGAAACCCCAGUAGUCC